AACUUCUGGCAACGGAUCUCUUGGCUCUCGCAACGAUGAAGAACGCAGCGAAAUGCGAUACGUAAUGUGAAUUGCUUUCCGUGAAUCAUCGAAUCUUUGAACGCACAUUGCACUCCUUUGGAGUAUGCCUGUUUGAGAAUCUAUAGUAUUUAUUUUUGGUUAUUUCGCAAGAGAUAAUCAAGAGAUUUGAGGUGUCUCUCUCUAUAGGGAGAGUACCUUUAAUGUUAUAGCCUCUUUUGUGGUAAAACAACUCUGCAGAACAGUAUUUGAAUGGAACUUUUGUUUCUUUAAUGCCUAAUACGCAGACUUACCUAUUGAAAAGGGGGUCCAUAAACUUAAAGUGGUACUACUUGUAGUACUGCUUGAACCAUGGUCUCAAAUCAGGUAGGAAGACCCGCUGAACUUAAGCAUAUCAAUAAGCGGAGGCU
rnacentral:misc_RNA from 1 species